UACGUAGGUGGCAAGCGUUGUCCGGAUUUACUGGGCGUAAAGGGCUCGUAGGUGGCCAACUAAGUCAGACGUGAAAUCCCUCGGCUUAACCGGGGAACUGCGUCUGAUACUGGAUGGCUUGAGUUCGGGAGAGGGAUGCGGAAUUCCAGGUGUAGCGGUGAAAUGCGUAGAUAUCUGGAGGAACACCGGUGGCGAAGGCGGCAUCCUGGACCGACACUGACACUGAGGAGCGAAAGCCAGGGGAGCAAACGGG
rnacentral:rRNA from 1 species